rnacentral:rRNA from 1 species
UACGGAGGGUGCAAGCGUUAUCCGGAUUCACUGGGUUUAAAGGGUGCGUAGGCGGGCAGGUAAGUCAGUGGUGAAAUCUCCGAGCUUAACUCGGAAACUGCCGUUGAUACUACUUGUCUUGAAUAUUGUGGAGGUAAGCGGAAUAUGUCAUGUAGCGGUGAAAUGCUUAGAUAUGACAUAGAACACCAAUUGCGAAAGGCAGCUUACUACACAAUGAUUGACGCUGAGGCACGAAAAGCGUGGGGGAUCAAAACAGG